rnacentral:misc_RNA from 1 species
UCGCUAUGUCGUACCGCUCAGUGACUUCCAGCCGCGCAAGACAUAUCGGUAACUCAGCUUGUGAUAUCUACGUCACGCCUGCUCCUUCGAACCGGAAGUAGGACUGUAUUUCAAGGGUGGUAGUUAGAAUGUCCUAGUGUCCUGCUUCAGAUGACAAAGCGACACCUGGUGUAGGUUAGGAACAAUCUUAGAGAAAUGUGAUGAUUUUUUUUAUUCAGUCGGCAUUUCUUAUGAGAACAUUUGAAUUAAUUCACUUCCUGUAUCCGUGCUGUGAAUUCCUCACCUUGUGUGUUGUCCAUAUAGCUGAAACUUAGGAAAUUACUAAAACAAUGACUGUCAAUCACCAAGGUUAAUGUAUUUGUUUCCCAAAAACAAGAUAACUAGGAAAAUUAUAUACCUUGUUUCUAAUUUUGAAGAAAUCUAAGCGUGUACUGGUUACAAAACCGUUUGCAACGAACGCCCCAACUCUAUCAGCUGUUGAUAGUAGCUUGUUUUGUUUUUUGAUUCUACGUACAACGCAACCAAACGAUAUUAUUCUCUUACAGUAUUCUCAGAGGACGUGAUCAACAGAACGGUAGAAUCCAGUCGAUAUUUUAAUGUGUCUCUGGAAUCUGAUUGAAGUGAUACAAAUUAAAGGUCCCGGAUGUUUUGACUAUCCACAGGAAGUCUCGACUAUCUCCGUACUCCUUACUUCUAAACUGAACUCACCCAAUUCCAAAACAGCCAUACCGUAUUUUUUAUCGUGACUAAAACUAAAUAUAGCAUAUUUAUUAGAGAUUUCUUAAAUUGCACAAGAUAUAUAUCUUUAUAUAACACGUCAACUUGAUUUUUAUGUAUUGCCUGCACAGAAAUGGUUUCCAGCGCACCGAGUAGUCCGCAAUAGAGUCGCUACAAGUCCCAGUGUAUCAAUACCGAUUUAUUCCGGCAAGGAUUUUAUUGUGUAAAAUUGACGCAGUUCCCGUUUUCAAUCCUAGAGAUUUUGCUGCAAUACGCUGAUAUUUUACUAUGCUGUUGACAUUCUUGUGAAAUUUAUUUUUCUUCUCCCCUAGUGUUUAGUGUUCUGUGUUAAAAGUUGGUGGAGCACGAGCAGGGAGUUGUGUUUGUGAAGCAGACCUAUAUCAACCGUGUGUGCGUGUGUUUCUUGUAUAUAUCUGUUUAUUACUAUAUUAUAUAUAUACACAGC